rnacentral:misc_RNA from 1 species
UUGCAGGCUUUGUAAAUGAAGUCAGCUCCCCUGAAAUUGAUUAGCGGUACCUCAGUAGAACUGUCUACAGGUGUGAUAACUUAUCUACACCUUAGAUGUCUGCAUGAAAAGGUUAUGCUGCUUCCUAACCCCCACUCCUUAUUGGGAGCACUAAUGACAAUCUUGACCUCAAAUCAGGUAGGACUACCCGCUGAACUUAA